GGGGAUAUAGCUCAGUAGUAGAGCGUGUGCUUAGCGUGUGCAACGUCCUGGGUUCAAUCUCCAGUUCCUCCA
rfam:Camelus ferus unplaced genomic scaffold scaffold1402, whole genome shotgun sequence.